UUUUCAUAGAAAUGGCCAUUCUUGUGUAAUGCUAUUGGGAAUGCAAUUGUUAGUAAAUUUCUGGAGGGUAUUUUAGCAAUACAAUUCAAAAGUCUUAUAAAUGAUCAUAUUCUUCGAUCCAGCUGGCUUACUCCUGGUUAUUUAUCCAAAGGGAGUACUCAGAUUAAUAUACAUAGAUACGUACACAAGUGUCUUUAUUUCAUCAUUAUUUAUUAUACCAACAGCAAACAACAAGAGAAAAGGGAAAAAAGGAAGUUGUUAAAUAAGGCAUGGAUCCGUAUAGUGGAUAUUCUAAACACUGAAAAUGUUGCUUCAUAUACACAUUUAUUGUUAUAGAAAGAUAUUUAAAAUGUAUUGUUAAAUCCAACAAUUGGGAUAUCAUUUCUGUCAUAUGAUUUGAUUUUGUAGUAAAAAUCAUAAAAGUACAUAGAAAAAGGUUUAAUGGGACAUUGUUUUAGGUGGAUUCUUCUGGUUGUAGUGAAUGGAGACUUCCCCAAGUUACUAUAAGAAUGGUGGCCCAUGCAAAUGAAGAUAAGGGAUCCAACACUCAGCUACUCCACAUGUGAAAUCAGAAGAAAUUUCAUUACGAGUCAUUACCAAAAAAGCAUGAACUUGCAAUGAUCAAGUUUUAUGGAAAGAGAAAGUAGACAGUCACUCAUGAGCUAGCGAUGAGUUUUACUGUUUUGAGAAUGUAUGAAUCCCAACUCUAGUUUUUCAUUAUUAUGAAGACUCUCUUUUUCUGAGUAUCUUUUGGUUUAAGCCUCAGCUAAUAACUAACUGAUUAUCUCCCCAAAGCUCCAGUUCAAAUUCCUAGCAGAAUAAGGAUGCAGAGAUACGCAGAGUGAUUUAAUGGUCUUUGGGGACUUGGGCAGUGGGGGAGUGGGAGGAGGUGAGGGAUAAAAGACUACAUAUUGGGUACAGUGUAUACUGCUUGGGUGACUGGUGCACUCAGAUCUCAAAAUUCAUCAUUAUAUAAUUCAUCCAGUAACCAAAAGCCACCUGUACACCAAAAGCUACAAAAAAAAUUGCUAGCAGAUUUUUUAUGAUGUUUUUAGCAUUUUUAAUGUUAAAUUGACAAAUAAAAAUUAUAUAUGUUUAUUAUAUACAAUAGGUUAUUUCGAAGUAUGUAUACACUGUGGAAUUACUAAAUCAAGCUGAUUAACAUAUGCAUUACUGCACAUAUUUAUCUUUGUGGUAAGAACACUUAAAAUCUACUUUUAGCAAUUUUCCCAAAUACGACACAUUGUUCUUAACUAUAGUUACCAUGUUGUGCAAUAUCUAGUAAAUUUGAUUGCUUCUGCAUGUCAUUAUUUGUUUGGGCAAUGCUUUAAUUCUAAGCCACUUCUUAAGAAGAUGGCUGGCUGAAGUUCAGAUAACCUUGGGUUAGAUGCUUACCCUUUGGUCCAAUCAACUAUGGUUGAUGAUAGCAUAUGGUGACCUAUGAAAUAAACUACUGUGCUUAGAAAAGAAGUAAGCAUGCUUUAGGCAUUUUGAAGCUUAGCUUGUCCAGCAUAGACACACUCUCAGAUUGCCAGUGUUUAUUUCUGAUGCUCAUAGAUGGGUCUCUAAAAACACAAGACUUUUUUCCUAAAAUAUUUUUCCUCAUAAACUUUACAGUGCCAUCAAAAAUAGUUAUUACACUCCAUAUUCUUCGUAAUCAUCAUUACUUCCUUACUGGGCAAGUGUAGCAAGUUAGAAACUAUUUGGUUCCCUAAAAUUUUUAUUUUAACAUAUAUUUAGCCCCAAGCAACCACAAGUGAUGCGUUACAUGCCCGCAUUACUAAGGUCUCAUUUUCUGUCUUCAAGGAGGUCAUGAUGUGUUCACACACAAACAAGAGAGUAAUUUCAUUCUAGAAUCUUAUCUGGGAGUCUGUUUACUGGGACCACUUCUAGUACCAACAAAAGUAUUGGUUAGAGUCUUAGCAGAAGAACAAAAAAUGCUUUAAAUAAAAUAGAAAGUGUAAUGCAGGAAAUCCAUCAAGUAUAAUGAAGAAUCUGAGAAUGAGAUAACACAGAAGUCAGAAAUAGUGGGAAGCCAUUUCCAUCCUCAGGCAGUGUUACAGGCAUUCGGGGGCCAUGAUUACCUGGUGGAAUCUGGGAGCAUGGUCUACCUGUCUGGCGGGAGCUGCAGCCUGAGGGAGAUGCAGCUUCUGCAGGAGAUGCUGCCCAGACAAGGAGGGGAGGGGCAGGAGGCAGACUGACAGUGGAUCCAGUGAAGGUCGAGCUCACUGCCCAUCCACUAAGGCCUUGGGAGGGGCUGGUCAAUGUGUUCACAUGUUCAUAUGAUUUUUUUUUUUUUUUUUUUGAGAUGGAGUCU
rnacentral:lncRNA from 1 species